AUCCCUGGUAAGGGGUUCUCACUAACUCUCAUCGAGAGACGUCAAAACAAUCGCCACUCAGGGGUUCGUCCCAUUUUACCUCCCAUCCCUCUCACUACGCGGCUACUCUCUCCCGAGAGAUACCCAUGGGCGCGGAUGAACAGGCUUUUGUUAUUGCGAGGAAGUGUUAUCACCCAAUCAACGUCGCACACGUCAGUUCCGUUUGAUGACGUGCUUAUAUAUUGGUGUGACGGUCGGAUGAACUUUAUGUAAUUCGAGGUGGUGAAGAUUCGGCCUAGCAAGUGCAGAGUCUUUCUGUCCGUGAACGCCUUAGGGCAAAGAAGUGCGCGUCGUGUUCUUAACGUAAAAAGUACGAAUUUUGUGUAAAGUGGUGCAACAAAUUCUAAAUAUUUUACUAAAAUUACAGGGUUAAAAACGGAGAUACGUCUACAAGUUAAAAAAGGACGUUACAAACAAAUAGUUAAAAGUGGCUAAAACUACAAAUAUGAACGUUUAUUAAAACACUAAAAAAGUAGUACGUACCGAACUUUGAAAAUGUUACAUGUAUGAAUCGUGAAACUUAAAUGUCUUUUUUAUGUAACAGGCUACAAUCACAGCUUAAUUGUUAAAACGACUACAAAAACGAAAAAUAUUAAAACUUAUAGUGCGCAAAAAGCUUAAAAUCACGUAAAACAACAACGGCGGAAAACAAAUAACAAGUUAAAAACAGUUUACGAAGAAAAAGGUCCAGAGGACCUUUUUCUUUUUAAUUUUCAUCCUACAAGCUUCGGAUCGACCUCGUGGCAGCGGUUGUGGGCCGAACCAACACCAACAACAAAAAUACGACAGAAAUACGGACAGAAAAUAUCUUCGACCCGGUGGACAUAACUUCAACCGAUUCCACCUGACAACCACGCUGACUCCGGCCUGCAUCAUCUCGAUUCAACACCAUUUCGGGACGCCGAAACUGGUGAGAAUCCGCUAGAGUAGCUGCCCGCUUCGAGGAGAAAGAAUUUCCGGAGUUUUAUGCAACUCGAAGAAUACGAAAACUACACCGAAAUCGCAAGUAUACACCUAAAAGUGAUGUACAGUUCAGGGCUUGUACAGCCAAUAAAUAACCGCCUUGUAUUUUGUAAAACUUUAACCCUGUUGCAGUGAUUAUUUAGUUGGAGUUGUUUCCACUUUUUGCUUUGAUUUUCCUUCGUUUAUGCUACGUUGUCCCAUGCCUCCCCCUGAUACGUU